CUAAUACUCACUUCGUCCAACAAAAAAUGUUUCAGGUUUGUCAAAAUUUAGAUGUAUCUAGAUAUGACUUAGUGUAUAAAUACAUUUAAAUUUAGUCAAAGUUGAGACAUCUUCGUGGACGGAGGGAGUAUGAC
rnacentral:pre_miRNA from 1 species